UUGAAAGAUUAAAUUAGCCAAAUAUUUAUAUCCAAAUUAAGCAGAAUUAAAUUGAAAUAAUUCCCAUGUCUAAACAAUCAUAUACUUUUAGAUCAAAAGAAAUAAAAAUAAAUAACACCAAAUAUGAUCACGAAAAAAAAUCCCUAACUCGAUAAAAAAACCUCCGGGCAAACUUACGAAUAAAGUGCACUAGAAAAGUUAACUUACAAUUACUUUAGACACUGCUAAAUUUUAGCUAACUCUAGUUAACUAAUUUGCACCGAGAAACUCCUUUGAUUGUGCACACCCACACUUCUUAGAAUUCUAAGCCACUUUUCUUCCAUGUGGGUCAACAAGAAUGAAUCUCCUCCUUGAGAGCAAGAACUCCAAGCGCCUUUUCCAAAAACUCCAUAACUCUGAAGGCUGAGUAGCAAAGAUUGUUAGUUAUUUUAUUUUUUCAUGUUGUGGUGGGUUUGCUGUUAAGUGUGGUGUUGUAUAUGGAGGAGUUCUAUCUGUUCACCCUGUAGGACUUUUUAUCAAUAAACGACAAGAUUCAUAAGAGAGACGUGUUCAAAUCAAUAGAUACCCUGCUAACAUUACUCUUCUACGUGGAAAUCACGAUACAGGCAGCUAAAACAGGACGGUAAUGUGCAACCAUACAAAAAGUCUGAGCCCAUUUCUGAGGCCAACAAUGAACUUGUUACGGUGGUGGUUGUUGAAAACUUGCAGGACAUGGUCUUGAACUCAGGGAAAAAUGGUGAGCAUCAAUAUUCACUUUUGGAUCAUCUUAACGUACGUCUCUUCACUUUUGGAUCUGCUUACAAAGAGCUAUUGAGUAAUAUCAAAUUUUUCGAUGAGAUGCACUGUAACAAUGAACAUGGAUGAAUAAUUAAGAAGUGGGGUCCCAUUA